UAGGGAAUCUUCGGCAAUGGACGAAAGUCUGACCGAGCAACGCCGCGUGAGUGAAGAAGGUUUUCGGAUCGUAAAACUCUGUUGUUAGAGAAGAACAAGGACGUUAGUAACUGAACGUCCCCUGACGGUAUCUAACCAGAAAGCCACGGCUAUCUACGUGCCAGCAGCCGCGGUAAUACGUAGGUGGCAAGCGUUGUCCGGAUUGAUUGGGCGUAAAGCGAGCGCAGGCGGUUUCUUAAGUCUGAUGUGAAAGCCCCCGGCUCAACCGGGGAGGGUCAUUGAAGACUGGGAGACUUGAGUGCAGAAGAGGAGAGUGGAAUUCCAUGGGUAGCGGUGAAAUGCGUAGAUAUAUGGAGGAACACCAGUGGCGAAGGCGGCACUCUGGUCUGUAACUGACGCUGAGGCUCGAAAGCGUGGGGAGCAAACAGG
rnacentral:rRNA from 1 species